rnacentral:rRNA from 1 species
CGGGAACUCUGAGACAGGUGCUGCAUGGCUGUCGUCAGCUCGUGUUGUGAAAUGUUGGGUUAAGUCCCGCAACGAGCGCAACCCUUAUCCUUUGUUGCCAGCGAGUAAUGUCGGGAACUCAAAGGAGACUGCCGGUGAUAAACCGGAGGAAGGUGGGGAUGACGUCAAGUCAUCAUGGCCCUUACGAGUAGGGCUACACACGUGCUACAAUGGCAUAUACAAAGAGAAGCGAACUCGCGAGAGCAAGCGGACCUCAUAAAGUAUGUCGUAGUCCGGAUUGGAGUCUGCAACUCGACUCCAUGAAGUCGGAAUCGCUAGUAAUCGUAGAUCAGAAUGCUACGGUGAAUACGUUCCCGGGUCUUGUACACA